GAAAUGCAGUGAACUCUAGCCCACCCGAAGGUUACAUAUAUAUACUUGAUCUAGAUUGUUGAGAGCUAGCAUGAAAAGACAGGAAAGAUUCAAGUAUUCAGAGCACCAUGACUGUUCUCAUUUCUGAAAGAAAAUGGAAUCUAAGACAUUUCAAGGAUUAGAAAUUUCAAGCAAGAUCUCACUUUCUUUUCCCGAAAGACUGUGUAAGUUAUAAAGACCAACAAAUGAAGAAUGAACAGAAUGACCUCAGAAACACUAUGAAAAUGAAACUUGACUGGGGCCUCAAUCCAUCUCCUAUUGAAGUCAGUGGAAGUCAAAAAUCUCUGUAUUUAAUGGAAGUUGGAUCAGACCCUAAACGAAAAGGGAAGGGUUGUUUGUUUAACUGUUGAAAAUGGACCUAUGUCAAUUUACACCAAAUGAAGAUUUGUCCCUUUAAAAA